CAGUGGGGAAUCUUGCACAAUGGGCGACAGCCUGAUGCAGCAAUGCCGCGUGAGGGAAGACGGCCUUCGGGUUGUAAACCUCUUUCAGUUGGGAUGAAGGUUGGACGGUGAAUAGCCGCGCCAACUGACCGUACCUUCAGAAGAAGCUCCGGCUAACUACGUGCCAGCAGCCGCGGUAAUACGUAGGGAGCAAGCGUUGUCCGGAAUCAUUGGGCGUAAAGCGCGUGUAGGCGGUUACAUAAGUCUGUUGUGAAAGUCGGAGGCUCAACCUUCGAAAGCCGAUGGAUACUGUGUGACUUGAGUACGGAAGAGGAGAGUGGAAUUCCUGGUGUAGCGGUGAAAUGCGCAGAUAUCAGGAGGAACACCAACGGCGAAGGCAGCUCUCUGGGACGUUACUGACGCUGAGACGCGAAAGCGUGGGGAGCAAACAGGAUUAGA
rnacentral:rRNA from 1 species